UUGUUUUAUUUUGAGGCUUUGUGG
rnacentral:siRNA from 1 species